rnacentral:rRNA from 1 species
AUUGAACGCUGGCGGCAGGCCUAACACAUGCAAGUCGAACGGUAACAGGAAGCAGCUUGCUGCUUUGCUGACGAGUGGCGGACGGGUGAGUAAUGUCUGGGAAACUGCCCGAUGGAGGGGGAUAACUACUGGAAAUGGUAGCUAAUACCGCAUAACGUCGCAAGACCAAAGAGGGGGACCUUAGGGCCUCUUGCCAUCGGAUGUGCCCAGAUGGGAUUAGCUAGUAGGUGGGGUAACGGCUCACCUAGGCGACGAUCCCUAGCUGGUCUGAGAGGAUGACCAGCCACACUGGAACUGAGACACGGUCCAGACUCCUACGGGAGGCAGCAGUGGGGAAUAUUGCACAAUGGGCGCAAGCCUGAUGCAGCCAUGCCGCGUGUAUGAAGAAGGCCUUCGGGUUGUAAAGUACUUUCAGCGGGGAGGAAGGGAGUAAAGUUAAUACCUUUGCUCAUUGACGUUACCCGCAGAAGAAGCACCGGCUAACUCCGUG